GCCAUCGUGCUCGCGCCGCCGCCGCCGCCGGACCGAUCCGCUUGUCCUCCUCUCGCCCGCCCAGACCUUGGAGCUCGCCGUCCGGUAGCGAAGAGCGGGGAGCGGCACCGCCGCGAUGAGGGCCAAGGGUGGAAGAAGAAGAGGAUGAGGCGGCUCAAGAGGAAGCGCCGAAAGAUGAGGCAGAGAUCCAAAUAGUCCUAAGACGAUGGACUGAUGGAGGUCUUUGCCUUUCUGCUGUCGUCGUAUGAACUCUAGUUUAUUUUUCUUGUUUAGUAAGAGAAAAGGAAAACUCAACUGGAAUCAUUGUAUCUUUCGAUCUUUGUCAUAAUGGGAGUAUGUGAUUGUAAUGGACACCAAUAUUUCCAUAGUUCCAUUAUCUGUCUACAAAUUCUCAACCUUGAGUUAUGUCUGCAAAUUCUCAUUAUGUGAAGGGCUUGAGCUCUAUCCUUAUCUAUAGGAGAAGCUUUCUUCUGGAGUUCUAA